UGCGGGCCUGGGGGGAGGCAGGUGCUGGGCCUGGCUUGGCGCCUGGGCCCCUGGAGGCGCCUCUUAGGAAACAGGAUGGGCAAGUCCGCCCCUUCGCGGCCACAAGGGGGCAGCAACGUGUCUCCUUCGUCCGGCUGGCCCAGGUCCGAGACCUGCACCCUUGGGUUCUCCUGGGCUCUGCCCUGCGGGCCCCUCAGCAGGGAGUGCUGAGGUCCCAGAGAUGGCCCGUGGGGUCCUGGCACUGAGGAGCCUUUCCUAACCCCUCACAGCCCCACCGGGGGACAGCUCAGAGAGUGUGGGCCACCUCGGGCCAACAGCAGAACCCAGCUCCUGGCCCCUCCGGCUGCCCCCUCUCCUGCCUCCUGCUGUGUGUCCUCAGACAAGUGCCCUCCCUCUCUGGGCCUCAGGCUACCUCAGUGAUGUCCGAGGCCCACUUGCCUCCUCUGAUCUCCUUUCCUUUCCCAGGCUACUCCCUCUGCCAGGAGCCUCCUCCUUGCUCAGGAGCAGGACCUGAGCGCACGGUGAUCGGUGGCUGCUUGUCCCAUUCUCUCUUUGACCCGUGGUUGCCAGGGACGCUCCCGCCCCGGAACCCCUGGACGAGGCCCUAUUUCCUGGGAGCUACACUCUGUGAAUUCCCCAGGACGAGAAGACCUUAUGAGCCCUGGAGCUGGAUGCAGCCAGACCUGCAGCCACACUGCUCCUGCUGCCCGGCCUGGCGAUUCGGAGCAGCGUGUGUUCUGUAAAGCAGGGACGGAGGGCUGUGCCAUGGGCAGCCACAGGCAGUCCUUGUCCCUAUCCCUGCACCUCCCUCCUCCCACGACAGGGUUGGGGUUGCGCAUCCACGGGUGUGGGACUCCUUUCACUUCAUCUCAUGACGACCCUCGUGGUGGGUAGUGUCAUCAGCCCCAUUUUGUAAAUGAGGAAACAGGCACAGAGCAGUUGAGCCACUUAGCCUGGGUCACACAGCUUUAUACGUGUAAAGAGCAUCUAAACCCCACUGCUUGGCCACCUCCUUUCCUUUGCUCCAGCUGUGUCCCCAGUCUGCCACGCCCUCUGCACUUCUGAAUCAUGGACAUUCUUCAAAACCCAGAGGAGUGGGCAACCUCCUCCCUGAAGCCUCCCAGAUUGCCUCGGGCAGCGGUGUUCUGCCCUGGCCCGUGCUCCUCCGGGUGAGCGCAGAACGCACCUGGGAUGCAGGUGCUCUGUCUCCCAGGGGGCCUGCCUGCCUGGUGUUGGUGGCUGCCCCCCGGGACAGGCCUCAGCUGCUGCUCGCCCCUCGCCUGGUCUCUGGAACUGCAGAUAAGAAGCGAGAGGCUGUUGACCCUGUUCAGAUAACAUGCGUCAGUGCCCAGUUCAGCCCCUCCUGGUUGACACCCGAGGCAUGUGGAGAAAGGGAGGAGGCGUGGGGAGAGUCAGGACCAGAGAAGCCACCAAAGUGGCAGCCGCCGUGAUUUGCUGCAGCAGGGAGCAGCCUCAGGCAGAAACUCCUACCGUUCUGCCUCUGCCUUCCUGGGUCUCCAAGGAGGGUAGUUGGGCAGGGGUCUCUUUCUGUCCAGGGCUGCACAGAGAACGCUGGAAACCGGGCCACCAGCUGCGCACAUGAGGUACCCCCACCUCGCACGCCAGCUGCAGCCUCUUGCAGUGGAGGCUCCCUCUGACCUCCACCCAGCUCUGGAGGCUGCAAAGUCCAAGAUCAAGGUGAUGGCGCCGCGGAGGUCUUCCCACUGUAACCUCACAUGGCAGAAGGGUCAUUGUGAUUGGCUCAAGACUGGACCCCGCCCCCGAGUUGUCCAAUCAGAAUGACUCCCGGGGUUCUGGCUUGGGGAUGCGGAGGCGGCCCUGGACCUUCCGUUUUGCUAGUCUCCCGGUGCUGCUUGGGCGCGUGGAGACUGCGGCGCUGGCUCCGCGUCCCUGAGUGAAUGGACCCGCUUGGAGCUGCCCACCUGGGUUGGAGGCUUCUCUGGACUUCGCUCUAACAAAAUGAGGACAGCCCUCUCUUUGGAUCCACUUUUAAUCUUGCUCCCGGGGACCUUUCACGAGAAGAGCGAGGCAAAGCUCAAUGGGACGUUGCUGGCGAGCUGGGGGCCAGGGCUUAUGGGCAGAAGUGUCUUGGAACUGACUGGUGCCAAGGGUGGUCAGGCCUGGGGCUGUCAGGCCUGGGGGAGCCCAGACACCUCAUCGCUGAAACCGGAGCCCAUGGGGAGGCGUUUCCUCGUUUGCAGGCUCAGAGUCAGCACUGUCCUUCAGGUCUGUCCAAGCUUCUGAGGCCCAGCAGGCUGUCUGCAGAUGGUGAUGGCGGCAGCGAGGUCCAGAGAGGGACGUCUGGGGCAGGGGCACAGGGUCUCCCCCUGCCCUGGCAGGGUGCUUUGUUCUCACGAGGACUGACUGGGGACCUCAGUGUCCAGCAACCCCAGGGCUUUGUGGGGAAUCCAUCCCAGACCCGCACACCUGCUUCACAACUUGGUG